rnacentral:rRNA from 1 species
UACGGGGGGAGCAAGCGUUGUUCGGAAUUACUGGGCGUAAAGGGCUCGUAGGCGGCCAACUAAGUCAUACGUGAAAUCCCUCAGCUUAACUGGGGAACUGCGUCUGAUACUGGAUGGCUUGGAUUCGGGAGAGGAAUGCGGAAUUCCAGGUGUAGCGGUGAAAUGCGUAGAUAUCUGGAGGAACACCGGUGGCGAAGGCGGCAUUCUGGACCGAUAUUGACGCUGAGGAGCGAAAGCCAGGGGAGCAAACGGG